rnacentral:snRNA from 2 species
GUGCUUGCUUUGGCAAUACAUAUACUAAAAUUGGAAUGAUACAGAGAAGAUUAGCAUGGUCUCUGCACAAGGAUGACAUGAAAAUUCAUGAAACAUUCCAUAUUUUU